UUGCUUCUCUGAUGUUAGCGGCGGACGGGUGAGUAACACGUGGGUAACCUACCUAUAAGACUGGGAUAACUCCGGGAAACCGGGGCUAAUACCGGAUAAUAUUUUGAACCGCAUGGUUCGAUAGUGAAAGACGGUUUCGGCUGUCACUUAUAGAUGGACCCGCGCCGUAUUAGCUAGUUGGUAAGGUAACGGCUUACCAAGGCGACGAUACGUAGCCGACCUGAGAGGGUGAUCGGCCACACUGGAACUGAGACACGGUCCAGACUCCUACGGGAGGCAGCAGUAGGGAAUCUUCCGCAAUGGGCGAAAGCCUGACGGAGCAACGCCGCGUGAGUGAUGAAGGUCUUCGGAUCGUAAAACUCUGUUGUUAGGGAAGAACAAAUUUGUUAGUAACUGAACAAGUCUUGACGGUACCUAACCAGAAAGCCACGGCUAACUACGUGCCAGCAGCCGCGGUAAUACGUAGGUGGCAAGCGUUAUCCGGAAUUAUUGGGCGUAAAGCGCGCGUAGGCGGUUUCUUAAGUCUGAUGUGAAAGCCCACGGCUCAACCGUGGAGGGUCAUUGGAAACUGGGAAACUUGAGUGCAGAAGAGGAGAGUGGAAAUUCCAUGUGUAGCGGUGAAAUGCGCAGAGAUAUGGAGGAACACCAGUGGCGAAGGCGGCUCUCUGGUCUGUAACUGACGCUGAUGUGCGAAAGCGUGGGGAUCAAACAGGAUUAGAUACCCUGUAGUCCACGCCGUAAACGAUGAGUGCUAAGUGUUAGGGGUUUCCGCCCCUUAGUGCUGCAGCUAACGCAUUAAGCACUCCGCCUGGGGAGUACGACCGCAAGGUUGAAACUCAAAGGAAUUGACGGGGACCCGCACAAGCGGUGGAGCAUGUGGUUUAAUUCGAAGCAACGCGAAGAACCUUACCAAAUCUUGACAUCCUUUGACCGCUCUAGAGAUAGAGUCUUCCCCUUCGGGGGACAAAGUGACAGGUGGUGCAUGGUUGUCGUCAGCUCGUGUCGUGAGAUGUUGGGUUAAGUCCCGCAACGAGCGCAACCCUUAAGCUUAGUUGCCAUCAUUAAGUUGGGCACUCUAGGUUGACUGCCGGUGACAAACCGGAGGAAGGUGGGGAUGACGUCAAAUCAUCAUGCCCCUUAUGAUUUGGGCUACACACGUGCUACAAUGGAUAAUACAAAGGGCAGCGAAUCCGCGAGGCCAAGCAAAUCCCAUAAAAUUAUUCUCAGUUCGGAUUGUAGUCUGCAACUCGACUACAUGAAGCUGGAAUCGCUAGUAAUCGUAGAUCAGCAUGCUACGGUGAAUACGUUCCCGGGUCUUGUACACACCGCCCGUCACACCACGAGAGUUUGUAACACCCGAAGCCGGUGGAGUAACCUUUUAGGAG
rnacentral:rRNA from 2 species